rnacentral:rRNA from 1 species
UACGGGGGGAGCAAGCGUUGUUCGGAUUUACUGGGCGUAAAGGGCGCGUAGGCGGUCAGCACAAGUCAGUUGUGAAAUCUCCGGGCUUAACUCGGAAAGGUCAACUGAUACUGUGCGACUAGAGUGCAGAAGGGGCAACUGGAAUUCUCGGUGUAGCGGUGAAAUGCGUAGAUAUUCGGAAGAACACCAGUGGCGAAGGCGGCUCACUGGUCCGGUACUGACGCUGAGGUGCGAAAGCGUGGGGAGCAAACAGG